AUUGAACGCUGGCGGCAGGCCUAACACAUGCAAGUCGAGCGAGCGGCGGACGGGUGAGUAAUGUAUGGGGACUGCCCGAUAUAGGGGGAUAACUACUGGAACCGCUGGCUAAUACCCCAUCCUGUCGGAUAUACCAUAUGGGAUUAGCUAGUAGGUAAGGUAAUGGCUCACCUCGGCUACGAUCCCUAGCUGGUCUGAGAGGAUGAUCAGCCACACUGGGACGGAGACACGGCCCAGACUCCGACGGAGGCAGCAGUGGGGAAUAUUGCACAAUGGGCGCAAGCCUGAUGCAGCCAUGCCGCGUGUAUGAAGAAGGCCUUAGGGUUGUAAAGUACUUUCAGUCGGGAGGCGUUACCGACAGAAGAAGCACCGGCUAACUCCGUGCCAGCAGCCGCGGUAAUAC
rnacentral:rRNA from 1 species